rnacentral:rRNA from 1 species
UGACAGUUUUAUAUGCUUCUCUAAAAGAUUAAGCCAUGCAAAUGUAAGAAAGUACUACUUGAAUUAGUAAAUCGGUGAAAGGCUCCGUAAAUCAGUUAUUGUUUAUUUGAAUGUGGAAACUAGAAACAGUUUCAAAUAUUUAGGUGGAUAAUUGUGGGAAAACUAGAAAUAAUACAUGCGAAAAGAGGAGACUGUGGCAACACGGAAUCCUUGCAUUAACUAGUUGUUUUCAAGAGGUGUACAUUACACUUUUGAUGAUGAACUACAGUUUACUAAAUAGCAGAUUGAUAAUCUUUUUUAUCAACGCUUCAUUCAAAUUUCUGCUUUAUCAAUUAACGUUGGUACGGUAUUGGCGUACCAUGGUUAUAACGAGUAAGGAAUUCUAUGGGAAUGAUUCCUGAGAUUUCGCCUGAGAAAUAGCGAAAAUAUCUAAGGAUAGCAGCAGGCGCGAAAAUUACCCAAUGCAAAAACUGCGAGGUAGUGACAAGAAAUAACGACAGGAUUAUUUCAGUUAUAAAAAUAACUGAAAACCUGAUUGCAAUGAGUACAAUUUAAAAAUAUUAAUUAGAAUCAAUUUGAGGGCAAGUUCUGGUGCCAGCAGCCGCGGUAAUUCCAGCUCAAAUAGUGUAUAUUAAAAUUGUUGUAAUUAAAAAGUUUGUAGUUUGAAGUUAUCACAAUUCAAUAAAAAUGGAUGGAAGUAACGAUUUAUUUCUGUCCAAUGAGUUGUGAUAUUAAGCGAACAAAGAAUCAUCUAUUCUCUGAAAGGAGGAUGGGUGAAAUCUAUUCUUUGUUCAUUUUACCAUAAAUAAAAUAGAGUGUUUAAAGCAUGUCAUUUAUUGACAAUUGAAUAAUUUAGUAUGGGAUAAUGAAAGACGAGAGAAAAAAGAGAGUACAUCUCGCAGCAUCAGGGGGGGAUUCGUCUCUUUUUUGGUGUUGGUCUUUUUUCUCUAAUGAUUAAUAGGGACAAUUGGGGCAAUUAGUAUUUCUACUCGAGCGGUGAAAUGCAUAGACAGUAGAAAGACUAACUAAUGCGAAAGCAUCUUGCAAGGGUGUUUUCAUUAAUCAAG